UGGGGAAUAUUGGGCAAUGGGCGAAAGCCUGACCCAGCAACGCCGCGUGGAGGAAGAAGGUUUUCGGAUCGUAAACUCCUGUCCUCAGGGAAGAGAAGGAGACGGUACCUGAGGAGGAAGCCCCGGCUAACUACGUGCCAGCAGCCGCGGUAAUACGUAGGGGGCAAGCGUUGUCCGGAAUGAUUGGGCGUAAAGGGCGUGUAGGCGGCUUUAUAAGUCUGGAGUGAAAGUCCUGUUUUCAGAUGGGAAUUGCUUUGGAUACUGUAGGGCUUGAGUGCAGGAGAGGUUAUCGGAAUUCCCGGUGUAGCGGUGAAAUGCGUAGAGAUCGGGAGGAACACCAGUGGCGAAGGCGGGUAACUGGACUGCAACUGACGCUGAGGCGCGAAAGUGUGGGGAGCAAGCAGGAUUAGAUACCCUGGUAGU
rnacentral:rRNA from 1 species